UACGGGAGGCAGCAGUGGGGAAUAUUGCACAAUGGGCGCAAGCCUGAUGCAGCCAUGCCGCGUGUAUGAAGAAGGCCUUCGGGUUGUAAAGUACUUUCAGCGGGGAGGAAGGCGAUGCGGUUAAUAACCGCGUCGAUUGACGUUACCCGCAGAAGAAGCACCGGCUAACUCCGUGCCAGCAGCCGCGGUAAUACGGAGGGUGCAAGCGUUAAUCGGAAUUACUGGGCGUAAAGCGCACGCAGGCGGUCUGUUAAGUCAGAUGUGAAAUCCCCGGGCUUAACCUGGGAACUGCAUUUUGAAACUGGCAGGCUUGAGUCUUGUAGAGGGGGUAGAAUUCCAGGUGUAGCGGUGAAAUGCGUAGAGAUCUGGAGGAAUACCGGUGGCGAAGGCGGCCCCUGGGACAAAGACUGACGCUCAGGGUGCGAAAGCGUGGGGAGCAAACGAGGGAUUAGGAUACC
rnacentral:rRNA from 1 species